rnacentral:piRNA from 1 species
UUGCCUAUAGACAACGUGAAGGGCU